UUCGGCUAGGGGGCCAUCCCGGCUUACCAACCCGAUGCAAACUGCGAAUACCGGAGAAUGUUAUCACGGGAGACACACGGCGGGUGCUAACGUCCGUCGUGAAGAGGGAAACAACCCAGACCGCCAGCUAAGGUCCCAAAGUCAUGGUUAAGUGGGAAACGAUGUGGGAAGGCCCAGACAGCCAGGAUGUUGGCUUAGAAGCAGCCAUCAUUUAAAGAAAGCGUAAUAGCUCACUGGUCGAGUCGGCCUGCGCGGAAGAUGUAACGGGGCUAAACCAUGCACCGAAGCUGCGGCAGCGAACGUAUCACUUAAAGCGAUUCAGCGGGUUACGAUUGACGGAGCGAAGCGACGUCAAAGCGUAUACAAAGUCGAGUCGGUUUAAGGAUACGUUCGUUGGGUAGGGGAGCGUUCUGUAAGCCUGUGAAGGUGUGUCGUGAGGCAUGCUGGAGGUAUCAGAAGUGCGAAUGCUGACAUAAGUAACGAUAAAGCGGGUGAAAAGCCCGCUCGCCGGAAGACCAAGGGUUCCUGUCCAACGUUAAUCGGGGCAGGGUGAGUCGACCCCUAAGGCGAGGCCGAAAGGCGUAGUCGAUGGGAAACGGGUUAAUAUUCCCGUACUUGGUGUUACUGCGAAGGGGGGACGGAGAAGGCUAUGUUGGCCGGGCGACGGUUGUCCCGGUUUAAGCGUGUAGGCUGGUUUUCCAGGCAAAUCCGGAAAAUCAAGGCUGAGGCGUGAUGACGAGGCACUACGGUGCUGAAGCAACAAAUGCCCUGCUUCCAGGAAAAGCCUCUAAGCAUCAGGUAACAUCAAAUCGUACCCCAAACCGACACAGGUGGUCAGGUAGAGAAUACCAAGGCGCUUGAGAGAACUCGGGUGAAGGAACUAGGCAAAAUGGUGCCGUAACUUCGGGAGAAGGCACGCUGACACGUAGGUGAAGUGAUUUACUCAUGGAGCUGAAGUCAGUCGAAGAUACCAGCUGGCUGCAACUGUUUAUUAAAAACACAGCACUGUGCAAACACGAAAGUGGACGUAUACGGUGUGACGCCUGCCCGGUGCCGGAAGGUUAAUUGAUGGGGUCAGCGCAAGCGAAGCUCCUGAUCGAAGCCCCGGUAAACGGCGGCCGUAACUAUAACGGUCCUAAGGUAGCGAAAUUCCUUGUCGGGUAAGUUCCGACCUGCACGAAUGGCGUAAUGAUGGCCAGGCUGUCUCCACCCGAGACUCAGUGA
rnacentral:rRNA from 1 species